rnacentral:rRNA from 1 species
AUUGAACGCUGGCGGCAGGCCUAACACAUGCAAGUCGAACGAGUGGCGGACGGGUGAGUAAUGUCUGGGAAACUGCCCGAUGGAGGGGGAUAACUACUGGAAACGGUAGCUAAUACCGCAUACCAUCGGAUGUGCCCAGAUGGGAUUAGCUAGUAGGUGGGGUAACGGCUCACCUAGGCGACGAUCCCUAGCUGGUCUGAGAGGAUGACCAGCCCCACUAGAACUGAGACACAGGCCAGACUCCUACGGGAGGCAGCAGAGGGUAAUAUUGCGCAAUGGGCGCAAACCUGAUGCAGCCAUGCCGCGUGUAUGUAGAAAGCCUUCGGGUUGUAAAGUACUUUCAGCGAGGGGACGUUACUCGCAGAAGAGGCACCGGCUAACUCCGUGCGAGCAGCCGCGGUAAUUC